rnacentral:rRNA from 1 species
GACAGAGGUGCCGAGCGUUAGGCGGAAUCACUGGGCUUAAAGCGUGUGUAGGUGGAUGCCUAAGUACCUUGUGAAAUCCCACGGCUUAGCCGUGGAACUGCUUGGUAUACUGGGUGUCUUUGAGCCAGCUAGGGGCUACCGGAACAAAUGGUGGAGCGGUGAAAUGCGUAGAUAUCAUUUGGAACGCCAAUGGUGAAAACAGGUAGCUGAGGCUGUGCUGACACUGAGACACGAAAGCCAGGGGAGCGAACGGGA